GACGAACGCUGGCGGCGUGCUUAACACAUGCAAGUCGAACGGAAAGGCCCUGCUUUUGUGGGGUGCUCGAGUGGCGAACGGGUGAGUAACACGUGAGUAACCUGCCCUUGACUUUGGGAUAACUUCAGGAAACUGGGGCUAAUACCGGAUAGGAGCUCCUGCUGCAUGGUGGGGGUUGGAAAGUUUCGGCGGUUGGGGAUGGACUCGCGGCUUAUCAGCUUGUUGGUGGGGUAGUGGCUUACCAAGGCUUUGACGGAUAGCCGGCCUGAGAGGGUGACCGGGCACAUUGGGACUGAGAUACGGCCCAGACUCCUACGGGAGGCAGCAGUGGGGAAUAUUGCACAAUGGGCGGAAGCCUGAUGCAGCAACGCCGCGUGCGGGAUGACGGCCUUCGGGUUGUAAACCGCUUUCGCCUGUGACGAAGCGUGAGUGACGGUAAUGGGUAAAGAAGCACCGGCUAACUACGUG
rnacentral:rRNA from 1 species